rnacentral:rRNA from 1 species
AUUGAACGCUGACGGCAGGCUUAGCACAUGCAAGUCGAGCGGGGGAAGGUAGCUUGCUACUGGACCUAGCGGCGGACGGGUGAGUAAUGCUUAGGAAUCUGCCUAUUAGUGGGGGACAACAUCUCGAAAGGGAUGCUAAUACCGCAUACGUCCUACGGGAGAAAGCAGGGGAUCGUCGGACCUUGCGCUAACAGAUGAGCCUAAGUCGGAUUAGCUAGUUGGUGGGGUAAAGGCCUACCAAGGCGACGAUCUGUAGCGGGUCUGAGAGGAUGAUCCGCCACACUGGGACUGAGACACGGCCCAGACUCCUACGGGAGGCAGCAGUGGGGAAUAUUGGACAAUGGGGGGAACCCUGAUCCAGCCAUGCCGCGUGUGUGAAGAAGGCCUUAUGGUUGUAAAGCACUUUAAGCGAGGAGGAGGCUACUCUAGUUAAUACCUAGGGAUAGUGGACGUUACUCGCAGAAUAAGCACCGGCUAACUCUGUGCCAGCCGCCGCAGUAA